AGGAAGAGUGUGCUAAUCAACAAAAUACUUCGGGGAGUUGAAAAUCGAAAUAGAUUCGAAUAUUCUCGAAUAGGGCAAUCUUUCGAACCGCUACUGAAUCUAUAGGCAGACAAGAGAGAACCAGAUGAACUAAAAGAUCUUAGUAGCUAGAGAAAACGAAAGCAAAAGC
rnacentral:ncRNA from 1 species